GUGGCUCGCCCUCGCGGGCCUGUCUAGGCUGAGCCUCAGAGCCGUUAGUAGCGUUUGGCGCCAGAACUGGGUGCUGGCCCUGCAGAUCCUCCCAGGUUAGGCCUCGGCCUUCCCGUCAGAGCUUGCGACCACGGGCUGGGGUCUGAGUUUACUGAGGCAACUGACUCCAAGACCGGGACGGUCAGUGUUGGUACCCAGAGCCUCUGGCACAGAUGACCCCUAGGAAAAGGGCGGAAGGGUGCCCGGGCUGCAGGGGAGUGCAGGCGAACGAUACCCUUUCUGCCUGGGCCAGCUGACAGAAAUGGAAUGCAAAGGCUCCUCUCUCCACUGGGCGGCGCCAAGAACCCCAAACGACGCACCCUGCUAUUGUUUCACUCUAUAAAAGAUGCAAGAUACACAAAUAAGCUCUCCACAGCCUAAGGCUGAUUCCAAAACCAUGGCAUGACCUUGCAAUUUCAUGAUUGCGCUCUUCUGAAAGGUUCCUUUCUCUUCUUACAGCUAUUAAUACAUUCCCAGCUUCUUUAAAAGAUACCGAUGUAUAUCUGCUUAGAAAAAUGAUCUAUUAAAGAGGGAGAGAUGAAAAUAAGGAAA